GGAAAGGCGAAAAGAACCCCGGCGAGGGGAGUGAAAAAGAACCUGAAACCGUGUACGUACAAGCAGUGGGAGCACAGAGCAAUCUGUGUGACUGCGUACCUUUUGUAUAAUGGGUCAGCGACUUAUAUUCUGUAGCAAGGUUAACCGAAUAGGGGAGCCGAAGGGAAACCGAGUCUUAACUGGGCGUUAAGUUGCAGGGUAUAGACCCGAAACCCGGUGAUCUAGCCAUGGGCAGGUUGAAGGUUGGGUAACACUAACUGGAGGACCGAACCGACUAAUGUUGAAAAAUUAGCGGAUGACUUGUGGCUGGGGGUGAAAGGCCAAUCAAACCGGGAGAUAGCUGGUUCUCCCCGAAAGCUAUUUAGGUAGCGCCUCGUGAAUUCAUCUCCGGGGGUAGAGCACUGUUUCGGCAAGGGGGUCAUCCCGACUUACCAACCCGAUGCAAACUGCGAAUACCGGAGAAUGUUAUCACGGGAGACACACGGCGGGUGCUAACGUCCGUCGUGAAGAGGGAAACAACCCAGACCGCCAGCUAAGGUCCCAAAGUCAUGGUUAAGUGGGAAACGAUGUGGGAAGGCCCAGACAGCCAGGAUGUUGGCUUAGAAGCAGCCAUCAUUUAAAGAAAGCGUAAUAGCUCACUGGUCGAGUCGGCCUGCGCGGAAGAUGUAACGGGGCUAAACCAUGCACCGAAGCUGCGGCAGCGACACUGUGUGUUGUUGGGUAGGGGAGCGUUCUGUAAGCCUGUGAAGGUGUGCUGUGAGGCAUGCUGGAGGUAUCAGAAGUGCGAAUGCUGACAUAAGUAACGAUAAAGCGGGUGAAAAGCCCGCUCGCCGGAAGACCAAGGGUUCCUGUCCAACGUUAAUCGGGGCAGGGUGAGUCGACCCCUAAGGCGAGGCCGAAAGGCGUAGUCGAUGGGAAACAGGUUAAUAUUCCUGUACUUGGUGUUACUGCGAAGGGGGGACGGAGAAGGCUAUGUUGGCCGGGCGACGGUUGUCCCGGUUUAAGCGUGUAGGCUGGUUUUCCAGGCAAAUCCGGAAAAUCAAGGCUGAGGCGUGAUGACGAGGCACUACGGUGCUGAAGCAACAAAUGCCCUGCUUCCAGGAAAAGCCUCUAAGCAUCAGGUAACAUCAAAUCGUACCCCAAACCGACACAGGUGGUCAGGUAGAGAAUACCAAGGCGCUUGAGAGAACUCGGGUGAAGGAACUAGGCAAAAUGGUGCCGUAACUUCGGGAGAAGGCACGCUGAUAUGUAGGUGAAGUCCCUCGCGGAUGGAGCUGAAAUCAGUCGAAGAUACCAGCUGGCUGCAACUGUUUAUUAAAAACACAGCACUGUGCAAACACGAAAGUGGACGUAUACGGUGUGACGCCUGCCCGGUGCCGGAAGGUUAAUUGAUGGGGUCAGCGCAAGCGAAGCUCUUGAUCGAAGCCCCGGUAAACGGCGGCCGUAACUAUAACGGUCCUAAGGUAGCGAAAUUCCUUGUCGGGUAAGUUCCGACCUGCACGAAUGGCGUAAUGAUGGCCAGGCUGUCUCCACCCGAGACUCAGUGAAAUUGAACUCGCUGUGAAGAUGCAGUGUACCCGCGGCAAGACGGAAAGACCCCGUGAACCUUUACUAUAGCUUGACACUGAACAUUGAGCCUUGAUGUGUAGGAUAGGUGGGAGGCUUUGAAGUGUGGACGCCAGUCUGCAUGGAGCCGACCUUGAAAUACCACCCUUUAAUGUUUGAUGUUCUAACGUGGACCCGUGAUCCGGGUUGCGGACAGUGUCUGGUGGGUAGUUUGACUGGGGCGGUCUCCUCCUAAAGAGUAACGGAGGAGCACGAAGGUUGGCUAAUCCUGGUCGGACAUCAGGAGGUUAGUGCAAUGGCAUAAGCCAGCUUGACUGCGAGCGUGACGGCGCGAGCAGGUGCGAAAGCAGGUCAUAGUGAUCCGGUGGUUCUGAAUGGAAGGGCCAUCGCUCAACGGAUAAAAGGUACUCCGGGGAUAACAGGCUGAUACCGCCCAAGAGUUCAUAUCGACGGCGGUGUUUGGCACCUCGAUGUCGGCUCAUCACAUCCUGGGGCUGAAGUAGGUCCCAAGGGUAUGGCUGUUCGCCAUUUAAAGUGGUACGCGAGCUGGGUUUAGAACGUCGUGAGACAGUUCGGUCCCUAUCUGCCGUGGGCGCUGGAGAACUGAGGGGGGCUGCUCCUAGUACGAGAGGACCGGAGUGGACGCAUCACUGGUGUUCGGGUUGUCAUGCCAAUGGCACUGCCCGGUAGCUAAAUGCGGAAGAGAUAAGUGCUGAAAGCAUCUAAGCACGAAACUUGCCCCGAGAUGAGUUCUCCCUGACCCUUUAAGGGUCCUGAAGGAACGUUGAAGACGACGACGUUGAUAGGCCGGGUGUGUAAGCGCAGCGAUGCGUUGAGCUAACCGGUACUAAUGAACCGUGAGGCUUAACCUUACAACGCCGAAGGUGUUU
rnacentral:rRNA from 1 species